UAGAAAUAAAAUUUCGAAAUUACGUCAGUUUUUAUGUACUCCUAUUUCCCGUACCGGCGAUUCCGCUUCUAAGAUUUUUCCGUAUGGCGAAAACACACAGAAAAGUUCUGGUACGCCGUCGGUCAUCGCGCUCGUAAAAUUUAUGACCAUACACACUGGACAACAUAAUUCGGUGUGGAUAUUUCAAAGAGCUUUCGGCUCUGGCGGAUUAAGAACGAGUGUUGGCGGCGAAAAGGGGGCGUGAAAGGGGAUAAGGUGUUUUACAUAUAUAAUAUGUGUGUUGUUACAGCAGCAGAUAAACCCCUUUUUGAAGAGCAAGGACGUGGAUGCCAGGGGGAUCGAAAAGACGAAGCGAUUAUUUUUAUAUGGGUUUUCAAUUGUGGCCGGGAAUAUUGUACUUUCAGCGCUCACGGGAGUUGAAUAAAUCAGGAAUAAUACGAUAUUAAUGGGGAAGUAAUGCAUGCACCCGAUUAAUUCAGAGUGUCUCUUCGAAAGGCAAAAGUCUGAAAGCACAAUGCCAUGACAGCGCGUGACACUUUGAUCAUCAAAGCGUUGGCCAGAAAACCAUUAAGUGCUUACCAGGAUUGCAGCCAUCGAACGCCCCCGAAAGCAAUCGAUUCACGUGCCAUAUUGAGUUGUUCGGAUGGCCACUUUUUUCGAUUCGACAUCGGACAUUAAACAAAUCCAUUGACCACCACGGUAUCAGGAAGAGGAACAGGAACGGAAUCCGAAACCGUAUCGAAACAGAAACAGAAACAGAAACAGAAACACACGCAAAUCUUGAUUGAAUCAACUUAAUUUAGAUCAGAGCCCGGUGAUUCGUGUGUGGUCGUAAAAAGCGCGACAUAUUGGGAUUGGGAACUCGGACUUAUCACACGUCGGUGUUCGUGGGUUAUCCUUGCCCAUCGGUUCGUGUGUGCCGGUGUCUGUAAACUUUUAUGACACGUGGUGGAGUUGCCGCAACAAAUAACAGCAGACAACAAACAGCACACAACAACAAACAGCGACCAACAACUGGCAACCGGCAAAAUCGACAACGGGAACAACAAGAGUUGUUUAAUAAUAAUAAAAACAAAUGAAAAGAGCACGUAGCUGGUGGCAGCAGCACCACAACAAAGGUGGCUAUGGCUAUUGCUCCAGGGGUCAGAGGUCAGUGGGUGGCGGGGUGGCGGUGUG